AGGAGCAAGUAAAUUCAGAAAAUCCCUGGAAUCAGCUUACAUUUCAGCAAUGAUUUAAGAAGGAUAACAGGACAAUGUUUUUCCUUAAGCUCACUGGAUGUUAGUACAGUCAUUACAAAAAUAAUUAAGUGGCCACAUAUGGAAAGGACGGAAAUCUUGCAGUCCACAGGGAAACUUGUGUGAAUUACAACUGCUAAAACAUGAUGAACAGGAAAUUUAGACCCUGGUAGAGGAGAGCCUGGGUGUAUCUACUGGAUAUCUUCAUAGCUGCAGAAAGAAACAGCAUUUCUUUACAAUGACUUUAAAUUAA